UGGGGAAUUUGGACAAUGGGCGAAAGCCUGAUCCAGCAAUGCCGCGUGUGUGAAGAAGGCCUUCGGGUUGUAAAGCACUUUUGUCCGGAAAGAAAUCCUUGGCUCUAAUACAGUCGGGGGAUGACGGUACCGGAAGAAUAAGCACCGGCUAACUACGUGCCAGCAGCCGCGGUAAUACGUAGGGUGCAAGCGUUAAUCGGAAUUACUGGGCGUAAAGCGUGCGCAGGCGGUUUGCUAAGACCGAUGUGAAAUCCCCGGGCUCAACCUGGGAACUGCAUUGGUGACUGGCAGGCUAGAGUAUGGCAGAGGGGGGUAGAAUUCCACGUGUAGCAGUGAAAUGCGUAGAGAUGUGGAGGAAUACCGAUGGCGAAGGCAGCCCCAUGGGCCAAUACUGACGCUCAUGCACGAAAGCGUGGGGAGCAAAACAGGAUUAGAUACCCUGGUAGUCCACGCCCUAAACGAUGUCAACUAGUUGUUGGGGAUUCAUUUCCUUAGUAACGUAGCUAACGCGUGAAGUUGACCGCCUGGGGAGUACGGUCGCAAGAUUAAAACUCAAAUGAAUUGACGGGGUCAUAGCUGUUUCCU
rnacentral:rRNA from 1 species